AUUGAACGCUGGCGGCAGGCCUAACACAUGCAAGUCGAACGAGUGGCGGACGGGUGAAUGAUGUCUGGGAACCUGCCUGAUGGAGGGGGAUAACUACUGGAAACGGUAGCUACUACCGCAUACCAUCGGAUGUGCCCCGAUGGGAUUAGCUAGUAGGUGGGGUAACGGCUCACCUAGGCGACGAUCCCUAGCUGGUCUGAGAGGAUGACCAGCCACACUGGAACUGAGACACGGUCCAGACUCCUACGGGAGGCAGCAGGGGGGAAUAUUGAACAAUGGGCGAAAGCCUGAUGCAGCCAUGCCGCGUGUAUGAAGAAGGCCUUCGGGUUGUAAAGUACUGUCAGCGAGGAGGCGUUACUCGCAGAAGAAGCACCGGCUAACUCCGUGCCAGCAGCCGCGGUAAUAC
rnacentral:rRNA from 1 species